CAGCCGCCGCGGUAAUACGGAGGGGGCUAGCGUUGUUCGGAAUUACUGGGCGUAAAGCGCACGUAGGCGGCUUGGUAAGUUAGAGGUGAAAGCCUGGAGCUCAACUCCAGAAUUGCCUUUAAGACUGCCGAGCUAGCAGGUGAGAGAGGUAAGUGGAAUUCCGAGUGUAGAGGUGAAAUUCGUAGAUAUUCGGAAGAACACCAGUGGCGAAGGCGGCUUACUGGCUCAUACUGGACGCUGAGGUGCGAAAGCGUGGGGAGCAAACAGGAUUAGAUACCCCCGUAGUCCCUGUCUCUUAUAC
rnacentral:rRNA from 1 species